UGUCUAAGUUUGAAAACUAUGGAAUUGGGGAGGGUAUUUAGGAUGUGCACGUGCCUGUGUGUAGGAAGGGACACGGGGAGAACAAAAGGUGGUGCUUGGGGAAGGGACUGAAAGGACAGUUUGAGGAACGGCACAGGUGGAGGCACCUCGUGCUGCCCGACACCACCUCGCCCAGUGCAUGCAGAUUCGUGAAAAGCACCAGACAAACUACUAUUUGUGCACUUCCUGCCUUGGCUUCUCAGUGAGGGACAUCCAAAACCAGCCUGUAAAUAAAUCUGCAGUUGCAGAAUUGCCCUGGGAAUUGGACUGUCAGACAGAAGGCAGCGCGUAAUAAAACACUGAGGAGCCUGUUGCAACUGUGGAGCAAAACCUGCCAAAGUGAGGAAGAUCCCUUUGCUUCCCCUGCCUAUCCCAGACUGCCUCCACAUGCUGGUUGUUGCAUUUUACCCCAGAGGAACACGGGCUUUGCGAGCAUAAGGUUGAGUAUGAAAACAGUUCAGAAACUUUUUUAAGCUGCUAAAUUUUCCACUGCAGGAAUUUUAAGUUUGCAAUUCACUUAAACGCUUUCAAAAAGUGUCGCUGCACGCAUUUCAAUCAGACAAAGUAUGUUUUGCAACAAAAAUAAAAGGUCUGCCUAGAUGUGGAAUUCUGUUUGAAUUCCAGUGUCAGCCUUAACAUCAAAUAAACACUUUAUAUUUGUUUCAACCUUUGCCCCAAAAUAAGCAACAUCAGCACUUCAUGAGGACUACAAAAAGUUAAACGAUUCUGGAAGUA